CCUACGGGGCGCAGCAGUGAGGAAUAUUGGUCAAUGGGAGGAAUCCUGAACCAGCCAUGCCGCGUGAGGGAUGAAGGUACAGAGUAUCGUAAACCUCUUUUGUCAGGGAACAAAGGUGGGGACGUGUCCCCGGAUGAGUGUACCUGAAGAAAAAGCAUCGGCUAACCCCGUGCCAGCGGCCGCGGUAAUACGGGGGAUGCGAGCGUUACCCGGAUUUAUUGGGUUUAAAGGGUGCGCAGGCGGUCUGUUAAGUCAGCGGUAAAGGCCCGGGGCUCAACCCCGGCCCGCCGUUGAAACUGGCAGGCUAGAGUGGGAGAGAGGUAUGCGGAAUGCGCGGUGUAGCGGUGAAAUGCAUAGAUAUCGCGCAGAACUCCGAUUGCGAAGGCAGCAUGCCGGCUCCACACUGACGCUGAGGCACGAAAGCGUGGGUAUCGAACAGGAUUAGAUACCCGAGUAGUC
rnacentral:rRNA from 1 species